rnacentral:rRNA from 1 species
UACGUAGGGUGCGAGCGUUAAUCGGAAUUACUGGGCGUAAAGUGUGCGCAGGCGGCAGAGCAAGUCGAGUGUGAAAGCCCCGGGCUUAACUUGGGAAUUGCGCUCGAAACUACUUUGCUGGAGUGUGGCAGAGGAAGGUGGAAUUCCACGUGUAGCGGUGAAAUGCGUAGAGAUGUGGAGGAACACCAAUGGCGAAGGCAGCCUUCUGGGCCAACACUGACGCUCAUGCACGAAAGCGU